rnacentral:rRNA from 1 species
GACAGAGGGUGCAAACGUUGUUCGGAAUUACUGGGCGUAAAGCGCGUGUAGGCGGCUAAGCAAGUCGGGCGUGAAAUCCCACCGCUCAACGGUGGAAGUGCACCCGAAACUGCAUAGCUAGAGUCCUGGAGAGGAAGGUGGGAUGCUUGGUGUAGAGGUGAAAUUCGUAGAUAUCAAGCGGAACACCGGUGGCGAAGGCGGCCCAACUGGAUCGGUACUGACGCUGAGGUGCGAAAGCGUGGGGAGCAAACAGG